AUGUAUUGCCAGAACCCCAACAUUUGUGCAGUGUUUGCUGUACAAGGAGGAAAAGUGGAAAGAAAGCAUGGCAUAAAAAGGGGGAAGACACCCUGCAUGAGAAGCCCAGCUCAGCAGGCCAGAGGACCGUGGAUCUGUGACAGUAAGCAUCCAGCCUUUGCAAAGCAGCAGGCAAACUUAGAGAUGCCCAACUUCAGAAUGACAGCAGAGUAAGCCUGGGUCUGCAGGUCCCUAACUCUUCCCACUGCUCCACUGAGCCCCCCACCGUCCUUUAUGCCAGCACUGUGAAGAUUGUUCUUGCCUCCCCUGCUGUCAUUCGGUAACCUCUACAAUCUGGCCCCAGUAGAAAGAACUUGCUAG